AGGAUUUUAUUAUAAUUUUAGUAUGAUUAAUUGCAGAUUAGUAGGUUUUUGAUCCUUA
rnacentral:tRNA from 1 species